UACGUAGGUGGCAAGCGUUGUCCGGAAUUAUUGGGCGUAAAGCGCGCGCAGGCGGUCCUUUAAGUCUGAUGUGAAAGCCCACGGCUCAACCGUGGAGGGUCAUUGGAAACUGGGGGACUUGAGUACAGAAGAGGAAAGCGGAAUUCCACGUGUAGCGGAUGAAAUGCGUAGAGAUGUGGAGGAACACCAGUGGCGAAGGCGGCUUUCUGGUCUGUAACUGACGCUGAGGCGCGAAAGCGUGGGGAGCAAACAGG
rnacentral:rRNA from 1 species